rnacentral:rRNA from 1 species
AGCGAACGCUGGCGGCAGGCCUAACACAUGCAAGUCGAACGAACUCUUCGGAGUUAGUGGCGGACGGGUGAGUAACACGUGGGAACGUGCCUUUUGGUUCGGAAUAACUCAGGGAAACUUGUGCUAAUACCGAAUGUGCUCUUCGGGGGAAAGAUUUAUCGCCAUUAGAGCGGCCCGCGUCUGAUUAGCUGGUUGGUGAGGUAACGGCUCACCAAGGCGACGAUCAGUAGCUGGUCUGAGAGGAUGACCAGCCACACUGGAGCUGAGACACGGCCCAGACUCCUACGGGAAGCAGCAGUGGGGAAUCUUGCGCAAUGAGCGAAAGCCUGACGCAGCCAUGCCGCGUGAAUGAUGAAGGUCUUAGGAUUGUAAAAUUCUUUCACCGGGGACGAUAAUGACGGUACCCGGAGAAGAAGCCCCGGCUAACUUCGUG